CGUAGGGUGCGAGCGUUAAUCGGAAUUACUGGGCGUAAAGUGUGCGCAGGUGGCCGCGCAUGUCGAGUGUGAAAUCCCCGGGCUUAACUUGGGGAUUGCGCUCGAAACUACGUGGCUCGAGUGUGGCAGAGGAAGGUGGAAUUCCACGUGUAGUGGUGAAAUGCGUAGAGAUGUGGAGGAACACCGAUGGCGAAGGCAGCCUUCUGGGCCAACACUGACGCUCAUGCACGAAAGCGUGGGGAGCAAACAGGAUUAGAUACCCUGGUAGUCCACGCCCUAAACGAUGAUGACUAGUUGUUGGAGGAGUUAAAUCCUUUAGUAACGCAGCUAACGCGUGAAGUCAUCCGCCUGGGGAGUACGGUCGCAAGAUUA
rnacentral:rRNA from 1 species